rnacentral:rRNA from 1 species
UACGGGGGGGGCAAGCGUUGUUCGGAAUUACUGGGCGUAAAGGGCUCGUAGGCGGCCAACUAAGUCAGACGUGAAAUCCCUCGGCUUAACCGGGGAACUGCGUCUGAUACUGGAUGGCUUGAGUGUGGGAGAGGAAUGCGGAAUUCCAGGUGUAGCGGUGAAAUGCGCAGAUAUCAGGAGGAACACCAAUAGCGAAGGCAGCUCGCUGGGACGGUACUGACGCUAAGGCGCGAAAGCGUGGGGAGCGAACAGG